rnacentral:lncRNA from 1 species
GUUGCAGGGUCCUGUUUUAACCUGAAGAAAUCAAGAAGUGCCAGGAGGGUGCCGCUCCCACUCCAGUCAUCUCCAAAGUGGUCCUGUUUAAAGACAGAGCAAAGGACCUGUAUCCUCAGCAUCCGGAGAGGCAGACACCCACCUACACUUUAUGACCCGCCUUCAAGAAAAUCCUGGGGGCAGGCUCGGAGUGGAAGAGAGGACCCCACCUCCAAACCUGGAGAGAAGUCGGCAUUCCAAAUCAAAGCCUUACUUUGACACUGCACCACGGGGGGGAUUCGCACCAAAAUUACAAUCCUGCCCUCUGAAGAAUGGAAGCCGCCAAUCCCAAAUCCCAAGCCGACCCACGAUUUCUCUGUAUCCGGGACUGCAGUUUAAACCGAGCUAUUUUCUCCUCAAUUUGGGAGCUCGCGCAGCCGGAGGCCAUGAGCCAACUACCACCUUCCCAGGGCGAACUGUGAAGAAGAGUUUUGGUCCCGAAGAGGACCGGCCUCUCCCGUCCCCAGGUCCCCUUAAACAUUCUCCAGUCCCCUCUCUCCGGUUGUUUUCUCCUCCUUCCUAGACAGCUGGGGAGAAGCAGUGGGUGUCCCUACGAGCCUGGGCUAGAAAAAGGGGACCUUGCCCACCCCUCCAAGGUCUAGAGCUGGACCCUCUUCCAAACAGGGGAGGGGAGAGGAGGGGCCCCCCCUCAUGACUCUCCAUUCAAGAGGCCUGAAGGUGACAGGGACGUUGGGCCCGGCUGGCGGGCUCUGGGAUGGGGGUUGGGGGCAAGUCAGCCGCCAGGCAGGCUCCGGCUAGGUCUUUGAGUCAAGGCCCCCAGGGCAAGAAAGUCCUAAGGGCUAACUCUAGAGUACCUUCCCUUUCACCCUCCUCCAACACACAACACACACACACACACACACACACACACACAUCCCAGAGGAUCCUGGAGGUUGGGGAGACUGAAGAAUGACAGGACAGGACAGAGGCUUCACUGACUGAUUGAUUGAUAUAUGUAUAUAUUUGAAAGAUUCAGAGAUAAAUUGAACUUUAAAAAGAUAGCUUGCCUGACUGACUCGGGACCGGUUAAGGAAAUAAGAUGGUAGCUUUCCCUGUGCCUUUUGCCUUGGGUGGCCUCUGUCACUGUGGAGUCCGUUCCUGGGCCUUACCCACAGCCCUGAAUGUCCAUGGGUAAGGGGGGGGGGUCUGUUUGGUCUUUUCCUGUGCUAGGUUCCGUGGGUGUAGCGGACUUUAUUUAUUUUGUUUUGUGAUCCAUGUCAGAAAAGGGAAAAACGAAUUAAAAGCAAAAACCCCUCCU